UAGAGAAGUAGUUAUGCAAUUCUGAACAGAUCAUCUAUUUAACGUGGUUAUAGUUGAGAGGAAGCUUGGGAAAUAGUUUUUGUUCUUGUACAAUGAAAUUACUUGUGGUAAGACUGCCUUCUUCCUGGCUUUCCGGCAUACAGCUCUCACAGAAGGUCUGCAUGGUGACAAGGGAAGGUACAGGGAGGCAAUUAAUCUUGUGCUGUACCUAAUUCCUAACUUGGGUAUAUAUUAAAAACAGAUUCCAGAGUGGCCAUCCUAAGUCCCGCAGCUGGCAUGUUUUCCAAAAUAUCCAGCUCUCCAGUAACACAAAAACCCAUUAAAUCAGACUCCUUUAGCAGAGCAGAAGGAUAUGAAAGUCAGGUGCAUCUGGAGAAGUGCUUUUCUCCUGCUGCUAUGCAGAUCAGCCAAAAACUAUACAUACGAAAUCUCAGAGAAAUGGAUGAAGUUAAGAAGAUACUCAAGUCUCAGUGAGUAGUAAACACUAUAACGUGAUGGAAAGCACAGCAAUAGCAGCAGGGUAGCAAUAUCUUCGACUGCAGCAAGCACCAAUGCAGCAGCCAUGGACACAGAAAUGAAGUAAAAGAGCUGCUUACCUUUGAAAGACCUCAAGCACACAAGAGAUCUCCAGAGAGAUCCCCUUACCUCCAAUGCCAACCCUUAAAUGAGGUCUGGGAAGGGAUGGAUCCUGACUCCACCCCUUCUGGUCACUGAGGUGCACUGCAUGCAGCUGAGCUCCCCUAGGUUGACCCUGCCUUCCCACCAGGUGCUCAAUCAUUGCUUCAAGCUGUGACAGCAUUUCCACUACAGCAUCCCAAAACAACUUCCUGCAGCAGUAGGUUCCAAAGCA
ensembl:lncRNA